CUACCACGGUUCCAACUGCACUCUAGAGUGUUCCUCCACCUGUAAAGAUAUGUUAUGUAAUAGACUUGGCUACUGUAUUGCGUGUAUAUCUGCUUACACUGGACGUUACUGUGAGAAAGGUCUAGCAUCAGAGAACAGCGGCCUCACAUUUUCAUCAGGUGUUGGUAUUGGAGUAGCUGUUGGUGCUCUGGUUAUCAUCUUGGUUGUUGUUGUUAUAGUUAUUAUAUGCAUAACAAGACUCAAAACAUUAAGCGCCAAAAGCAAUGAUGACUUAAAACAUGAUACACAACUCCAGAACUAUGAUAGCGUGAAACAAAUACAUGAAUACAACCACCCUUACGAACCUUCUAGAUCUACUUUUGAAG
rnacentral:sRNA from 1 species